rnacentral:ncRNA from 1 species
CGCAUAUCCUUCGCGUCAGGUGCCCGCUCCGGCGGGAGAAUCGGGAAUCCGGUGCGGGCGGAAAGCCUAGGUCCGGAACGUGCCCAACGCUGUGACGGGGAUGGUCUGCGCCAUGAAAGCUUGAAUCGAUUCAAGCUUUUGCCACUGGUUGUUCAACCGGGAAGGCAGGCGUCGGCCGCGUGACCCGAAGUCAGAAGACCGGCCUGGCACGAUAGACCGAAC